CUGUUCUUAACUGCGCAUGCUAACAGAGCUGGACAAGUCAGACCACAUGCUUCUGGUAGGGCUGCAAGUCCAUGCUCCGAGACGUGUGACUCAUAUCUCGCAUGACCCACUCUUGGGAGGGUGGUGGGGCUCCUGCAGUUCCAGUGAUUAGCUGAGAGCUAAGCAUGUGACCAAACUGAUCCAAUCAGAAUCAAUCCAGAGACUUGUUUGUAGCUCUCGUAAGUAUUCGUUCUCCACCAGACUUAUGAAACUGAAAUCCUUGGCAGUCCAGUUGCCUACUUUAUCAUAGAGUGAGAGGAAUGAACUUGCUAGAUGAAAACUACAGAACCUAAGACAGCUGUUUUGAAAGAAUUGGAUUUGAAGCCUGCCGAGCAUUUCCGUGAGUGGUCUGCUGGUCUUCACGUGGAGCGAAACUGCAAGAGGAAAGUGGGAAGAGGCCCGACCACAGCCCUGUGGUGAGCUCAGAGGCCCUGUCUCGGGUGCACCAGCUGUUCUGAUCUGCUUUCCUGUCCAACGAGGGCAGGAGAACCGGACUGCCCUGCAUCCAGGGGAACCCAAUCAGGUGGCUCCCUGAUGAUAGCUGUCCCUUUGGUCCCAUCUGUUUACCAGCUUGUAGAAAUUGUUCAUAUUCUAUACCUAGGGUUGGAUGUGUGUCUUAGUUUGGAAGACUUUUUAAUCUUUCUGUUCUAUCACUGAUCAUUUAAUGAAAAGCAGGAAGAGGCUGCUAGACUGAAAAGCUAUAAUUAAUUUGACUUUUAUGGUGGGAAAAUCCCAUUAAAUGACUUCUUUCCUGAUAUUAACACCUAUGCAGUAAUACAGUGUUCAGCAGCAUUAGGAGUUAAGGCUCUGGACAAGGUUUGAAUUUUGAAUUCAUUUCCUUCUGGAUCUGUUGCCUGACCUUGGCACGGCUCAUUAAUAGUAUCCUUGAGAUCAUGCUAGAAAAGCAUAAACAACUUCAAGUUCUUUUUGUUCUGACUCCAUCUGUAUAUAGUGCCUAAAUACUCAGAAAAAACCAAAACAAAUAAUUAAAAAUUCUUUGGAAACCGUCC
rnacentral:lncRNA from 1 species